AACGAACGCUGGCGGCAGGCCUAACACAUGCAAGUCGAGCGCCCCGCAAGGGGAGGCGGCGGACGGGUUAGUAACGCGUGGGAAUGUACCCUUUUCUUACGGAAUAGCCUCGGGAAACUGAGAUUAAUACCGUAUACGCCCGGUAACGGGGAAAGAUUUAUCGGAGAAGGAUCAGCCCGCGUAAGAUUAGAUAGUUGGUGGGGUAAUGGCCUACCAAGUCUACGAUCUUUAGCUGGUUUGAGAGGAUGAUCAGCAACACUGGGACUGAGACACGGCCCAGACUCCUACGGGAGGCAGCAGUGGGGGAAUCUUAGACAAUGGGCGCAAAGCCUGAUCUAGCCAUGCCGCGUGAGUGAAGAAGGCCUUAGGGUCGUAAAAGCUCUUUCAGUGGGGAAGGAUAAUGACGGUACCCACAGAAGAAACCCCGGCUAACUCCGUG
rnacentral:rRNA from 1 species